AUGUUAAGAGCAGAAGCGUCUACAGUCUGCGGAUGAAUCCACCUAAUAGAUGGCUGUAGCAGAUCUGUAGAUCAUGCAGAGGCAGACGCAGAACCCAGAGCCCAGUCACGAGUUACACAUAUUUACACACGAGUAAUUUUACUCAGGACCUCAGAGCCGCAGUCAUGGACCAGGGAUCCACCAUGCCCGGAGCUGUAAAAACACAGUGGAGAAGAACUUGCAGCCAGCUAGCUGAGAAGGAACUUGGGGCUGUUAUGACAUGACCUGGUUUGCAGCCCACAAAAUGCUCCCCGUCUGUACCACGCUGUAUCCAACGGGACAAAACACGUCAUGGGACUGAGAGAGCCCACAUAUGUUCGUGUGACGAUGGAUGUGGCGGAACCACCACCUGACUUUCUUUACUGAUGUGAUGGCUGCCUUCUUGGAUGACAAACUGGGCAUUGAACCAGAGACCCCAGAGCUAAAAGCGUAAGUUCCUAUACGUUAAUUAAAGAACCAAGCCUCUGUAGCUAGGGGCUGUAACAACUCCUAUCCUCUAUGGAUGGGCACAGAGCGGGACUUGACACGUAUGCUCACCGGUGUGUUACAUUGACGGAGCCAUGUGGUAAGAGCAGGAGGGGAUGACAAAUCUAGGUAGGCAUCUGGCUGCCAUCACUAUGGUAGCUGGGCACGUAUCAAUUCUUGUGGACUUCUUCUCCCAGCUCUGUGCUCGCCAGGUGCCCCACCCACUUUGAACCUGGCACAACUCGCUUUUCUCAUCAGCAUUAAAUGCCUCCUGGCAGACCAAUGAUUCAUCUGAGCCGGUAUCCUGCCUCCAGCAGUGGCCAAUGUUAUGUGCGUCAGGCUUCAGUGUAAAAUGCACCUUAUGCACCUUGUUGCGUUAUCAGGGAAAUUUCUCCCUAA